rnacentral:rRNA from 1 species
UACGUAGGGGGCAAGCGUUGUCCGGAUUUAUUGGGCGUAAAGAGCGUGUAGGCGGCCAACUAAGUCAGACGUGAAAUCCCUCGGCUUAACCGGGGAACUGCGUCUGAUACUGGAUGGCUUGAGAUUGGGAGAGGGAUGCGGAAUUCCAGGUGUAGCGGUGAAAUGCGUAGAUAUCUGGAGGAACACCGGUGGCGAAGGCGGCAUCCUGGACCAACACUGACGCUGAGGAGCGAAAGCCAGGGGAGCAAACGGG